GCCAAGUCGCUAAACUCGAGUUUAUGGAAACUGGAUUCAAAAGUUUUUGAAUGGCUAGAUAGCAAAAAACCUGAGUCAGUCGUUUAUGUGAAUUACGGGAGCGUGACAACAAUGUCAGGCACUUAUUUUCAAGAAUUCGCGUGGGGGCUCGCAAACAGCAAGCAACCUUUUCUCUGGAUUGUUAGGCCGGACAUUGUGAAAGGCGGAUCAGCAAUGUUGCCUGAAGAAUUUCUCGAGGAGAUUGAGGAUAGAGGAUUGUUAAUAAGCUGGUGUGCACAGGAUCAGGUGUUGGAACACCCUGCUGUAGGUUCAUUCUUGACACAUUGUGGAUGGAAUUCGAUGAUGGAAAGCAUAUGUGCGGGUGUGCCAGUGAUCUGCUGGCCUUUUUUUGCUGAUCAGCAAACAAAUUGUCACUAUUCGUGCUCAAAAUGGGGAAUUGGGAUCGAGAUCGAUCAUUUUGUGAAGCGCGAUGAAGUUGCGCAAUUGGUUAGGGAAAUGAUGGGAGGUGAGAAAGGUAGGAAAAUGAGAACCGAGGCUAAGGAAUGGAAGAAAAUAGCACAAGAAGCUACUGAUGUUGGGGGAUCAUCUCAUGUCAACUUUGAUAAGUUCAUCAAGGAAGCUCUACAUUUUCAAGAUUGAUUAAGGGAUCAGAAAAUUGUACCUUUAAAAC
rnacentral:lncRNA from 1 species